rnacentral:lncRNA from 1 species
UUUAGGAUUUAGUUAGGGUUUGAUUUAGGGUUUGAUUUAGGAUUUGGUUAGGAUUUUAUUUAGUAUUUGGAGUUUGGUUAGGAUUUGAUUUAGGAUUUAGGAUUUAGUUAGGAUUUGAAUUAGGGUUUUAUUUAGGAUUUAGGAUUUGGAUUAGGGUUUGGUUAGGAUUUGAUUUAAGAUUUAGGAUUUGGUUUAGGAUUUGGUUGUUGUUUGGUUUAAGGUUUGUUUAGGGUCUGAUUUAGGAUUUAGGAUUUUAUUAGGAUUUAAGAUUCAAUUAGUUUUGGCCUAAAGUUUGAAUGAAGUUCAAUAGUAUUUUAAUUAGAAUUAAAUUAAGAUUGAAUUGAGAUGUAUUUGAGUGAUAAUUGUGAUCCUUCUAAUAUUUCUUUAAGAAUUCUUAUUGUUUGUUUGAAAUUUCUUUGAGAUUUUUUUGAAUUUGAUUAAGCUUGCUUAGAGUUAUUAUGGUCUAAUUAGAGAAUUUUUAGUAUUUUAUUAGAAU